rnacentral:rRNA from 1 species
UACGUAGGUGGCAAGCGUUGUCCGGAUUUACUGGGCGUAAAGCGCGCGUAGGCGGUCUGUUAAGUGCACAAGUGAAAGCUCCGGGCUCAACUCGGAAAUUGCUUUGCAUACUGGCAGGCUGGAGGGACGCAGAGGUCUGUGGAAUUCCUGGUGUAACGGUGAAAUGUGUUGAUAUCAGGAGGAACACCCAUGGCGAAGGCAGCAGACUGGGCGUUUCCUGACGCUGAGGCGCGAAAGCGUGGGUAGCAAACAGG